rnacentral:rRNA from 1 species
UACGAGGGGGGUGAGCGUUGUUCGGAAUUAUUGGGCGUAAAGGGUGCGUAGGCGGUUUGGUAAGUCUCUUGUGAAAUCUAUGGGCUCAACUCAUAGUCUGCAAGGGAAACUGCCGGGCUUGAGUGUGGGAGAGGUGAGUGGAAUUUCCGGUGUAGCGGUGAAAUGCGUAGAUAUCGGAAGGAACACCUGUGGCGAAAGCGGCUCACUGGACCACAACUGACGCUGAUGCACGAAAGCUAGGGGAGCAAACAGG